GGUUAAGCGAAUAAGCGUACACGGUGGAUGCCUAGGCAAUCAGAGGCGAUGAAGGACGUGCUAAUCUGCGAUAAGCGUCGGUAAGGUGAUAUGAACCGUUAUACCCGACGAUUUCCGAAUGGGGAAACCCAAUAUCCAAUGGAUAUUAUCAUUAACUGAAUACAUAGGUUAAUGAAGCGAACCGGGAGAACUGAAACAUCUCAGUACCCCGAGGAAAAGAAAUCAACCGAGAUUCCCCUAGUAGCGGCGAGCGAACGGGGAACAGCCCAGAGUCUUAAUCAAUAGCAGCAUCAGGAGAACGGUCUGGAAAGUCCGGCAGUAAAGGGUGAUAGCCCCGUAUCCGAAGAUGCUGUUAUUGUGAACUCGACGAGUAGGGCGGGACACGUGUUAUCCUGUCUGAAUAUGGGGGGACCAUCCUCCAAGGCUAAAUACUCCUGAUUGACCGAUAGUGAACCAGUACCGUGAGGGAAAGGCGAAAAGAACCCCGGCGAGGGGAGUGAAAAAGAACCUGAAACCGUGUACGUACAAGCAGUAGGAGCCCCAUCACUCAAGUGCCUCGCACUGAGUGAUUGGACAAACCACUCGAAAACAGCGCAGCGUUUACCUACAAAGUGGAUUGAUUUUUUCAAGCCGUCGCGCAGUGUACAUAGAAGUACACGAGCAACGGAAGUUAAAAAAUCGAGCCAGUUUGACAGUAAAAGCAAGCGGGACAUUUGAGGAUGGGGUGACUGCGUACCUUUUGUAUAAUGGGUCAGCGACUUAUAUUCUGUAGCAAGGUUAACCGUAUAGGGGAGCCGUAGGGAAACCGAGUCUUAACUGGGCGAAUGAGUUGCAGGGUAUAGACCCGAAACCCGGUGAUCUAUCCAUGGGCAGGUUGAAGGUUGGGUAACACUAACUGGAGGACCGAACCGACUAAUGUUGAAAAAUUAGCGGAUGACUUGUGGAUGGGGGUGAAAGGCCAAUCAAACCGGGAGAUAGCUGGUUCUCCCCGAAAGCUAUUUAGGUAGCGCCUCGUGAACUCAUCUUCGGGGGUAGAGCACUGUUUCGACUAGGGGGUCAUCCCGACUUACCAACUCGAUGCAAACUGCGAAUACCGAAGAAUGUUAUCACGGGAGACACACGGCGGGUGCUAACGUCCGUCGUGAAGAGGGAAACAACCCAGACCGCCAGCUAAGGUCCCAAAGUCAUGGUUAAGUGGGAAACGAAGUGGGAAGGCUCAGACAGCCAGGAUGUUGGCUUAGAAGCAGCCAUCAUUUAAAGAAAGCGUAAUAGCUCACUGGUCGAGUCGGCCCGCGCGGAAGAUGUAACGGGGCUAAACCAUGCACCGAAGCUGCGGCAGCGACACUAAGUGUUGUUGGGUAGGGGAGCGUUCUGUAAGCCUGCGAAGGUGUACUGUGAGGUAUGCUGGAGGUAUCAGAAGUGCGAAUGCUGACAUAAGUAACGAUAAUGCGGGUGAAAAACCCGCACGCCGGAAGACCAAGGGUUCCUGUCCAACGUUAAUCGGGGCAGGGUGAGUCGACCCCUAAGGCGAGGCUGAAAAGCGUAGUCGAUGGGAAACGGGUUAAUAUUCCCGUACUGGUGGUAACUGCGAUGGGGGAACGGAGAAGGCUAGGUUGUCCGGGCGACGGUCGUCCCGGUUCAAGCAUGUAGGCAGAGUGAUUAGGCAAAUCCGGUCACUUAAUGCUGAGGUGUGAUGACGAGCCACUAAGGUGGUGAAGCAAUUGAUGCCCUGCUUCCAGGAAAAGCCUCUAAGCUUCAGGUUACCAACAAUCGUACCCCAAACCGACACAGGUGGUCAGGUAGAGAAUACUCAGGCGCUUGAGAGAACUCGGGUGAAGGAACUAGGCAAAAUGGUGCCGUAACUUCGGGAGAAGGCACGCUGGCGGUAAGUGAAGUCCCUUGCGGACGGAGCCGAAGCCAGUCGAAGAUACCAGCUGGCUGCAACUGUUUAUUAAAAACACAGCACUGUGCAAACACGAAAGUGGACGUAUACGGUGUGACGCCUGCCCGGUGCUGGAAGGUUAAUUGAUGGGGUUAUCCUUAGGGAGAAGCUCUUGAUCGAAGCCCCAGUAAACGGCGGCCGUAACUAUAACGGUCCUAAGGUAGCGAAAUUCCUUGUCGGGUAAGUUCCGACCUGCACGAAUGGCGUAAUGAUGGCCAGGCUGUCUCCACCCGAGACUCAGUGAAAUUGAACUCGCUGUGAAGAUGCAGUGUACCCGCGGCAAGACGGAAAGACCCCGUGAACCUUUACUAUAGCUUGACACUGAACAUUGAGCCUUGAUGUGUAGGAUAGGUGGGAGACUAUGAAGUGUGGACGCCAGUCUGCAUGGAGUCAACCUUGAAAUACCACCCUUUAACGUUUGAUGUUCUAACCUAGGCCCAUAAUCUGGGUCGGGGACCGUGUCUGGUGGGUAGUUUGACUGGGGCGGUCUCCUCCUAAAGAGUAACGGAGGAGCACGAAGGUUGGCUAAGCAUGGUCGGACAUCAUGCGGUUAGUGCAAAGGCAUAAGCCAGCUUGACUGUGAGAGUGACGGCUCGAGCAGGUACGAAAGUAGGUCUUAGUGAUCCGGUGGUUCUGAAUGGAAGGGCCAUCGCUCAACGGAUAAAAGGUACUCCGGGGAUAACAGGCUGAUACCGCCCAAGAGUUCAUAUCGACGGCGGUGUUUGGCACCUCGAUGUCGGCUCAUCACAUCCUGGGGCUGAAGUAGGUCCCAAGGGUAUGGCUGUUCGCCAUUUAAAGUGGUACGCGAGCUGGGUUUAGAACGUCGUGAGACAGUUCGGUCCCUAUCUGCCGUGGGCGUUGGAAGAUUGAGAGGGGUUGCUCCUAGUACGAGAGGACCGGAGUGAACGCACCACUGGUGUUCGGGUUGUCAUGCCAAUGGCAUUGCCCGGUAGCUAAGUGCGGAAGAGAUAACCGCUGAAAGCAUCUAAGCGGGAAACUUGCCUCGAGAUGAGUCUUCCCUGUCACCUAGAGUGACCUAAAGGAACGUUUAAGACUAAGACGUUGAUAGGCUGGGUGUGUAAGCGUAGCGAUACGUUGAGCUAACCAGUACUAAUGAACCGUGAGGCUUAACCUG
rnacentral:rRNA from 1 species